AGGUGAUUUGCUGGAGAUCCUUGCCUACCUGGAGCUUUCUAAGGGUCAGGAAUGAAAACACCAGCUAGUGCUAGACCUUGGCCCGCAGCAUAUCCCUAGCACAUACAUCCUUCUGUUUUGACAGCAGACCAUUGGCUGACUUUGAGGUUCUGGGCUUGCUGCCUCUUGCAUCUUACGUUGUCCACAGCAAACAAGAUGCUGGAGGGAACAACACACCUCAGUUGAGCGAGCAGGAUACAGGAGGAGAGAACUGCCAACAGUGUAGCUGGAGUGGAUGAUCUUACUGGAUUUGCUGGUUUCCAGCCUCUACGAUACUCUGAUGGCACAUCAGUUUCGGGAAGUGCUGCUCCUGCUCUGCCUCUGCACGUUUGCAGUGUUGCCAUAACAAAAGCAGGCAGCAUAGCCCAGCAGGCUGUGCUCCAACACUGCGUCACCCCAUCCAGGUUUUGGGGUAUCGGGGUGGGGCAGCCAACACCCAGCAGGCAUCUCGCCGCAGAGCAGAUGCAGCUUUGGAUGUGAUCAAAGGGGCUUCAUUUGCAGCUGCACGUAACAAAAUCCCAGCCCUGGCAGUGCCAGACAGACCCGCGCCUCCUACCAGCACUUAUUUUGAUGGCUUCCUUUUGUCCCCGUCCCCACAAUCUCUACGUCUUGACUUUUGCAGGCACUUUCCUCCUAUAAGCAUAUUAAACGUAUUUAAAAAACACUUAGAUGCUAAUGUGAAACCUGAAAAGAGGAUGUCAAACGCAAGAGACAUGAUGUCUCUGUAGAAGGAUUUGACCCCGGUAAUCUAAUUUGCUUUACAUUUCAAAUGAUACUUCAUUCUCUUAUUAAAAGGCUCUGUGUCAUUGGCUCAUAAAGAUUACAAUUUCUCGUCUCCCAAUUGUAAUAAAUCCAAUUCAAGCACCCUCUUGAUUU